CCAAAGCGGGGCAGCUCCUCUGUAAUGAAAGAGAGAGCCUUACAUUUUAUUGCAGCUGCACUGUGUACUUUCGCUUUUGUUUUCUGUGUUUCUUUUGUUGUGUCAUUUCGCUUUUGUUUUUUGUGCUUCUUUUGUUGUUGUGAUGACAGGGACGCUCCCCUGUAAAAGGAAGAGAGCGGGGACUUUUGUACUUUCACUUUCUUUAUAGCUCUAAAAACAUUAUGGGCGUUGCUUCUUCAAGCCCAAUUUUGUUGGCCCUAGAUGGGUUGUUACAUUCAAAAGGACUUAAGAUAAAGCAGAGUACUUUGCAGAUGUUUUUAAGAGAAGCUGAUAUAGCGGCUCCUUGGUUUGCUUUUUCAGGGAGUCUUACGGUUCCCAGCUGGGACAAAUUAGGGAAAGAUCUAGAUUUCGCUCAUGAGCAAGGUACCUUGCAGGGUGGCAUUAUACCACUUUGGAAGUUAGUUAGAGGAUGUAUAACAGAUGGUAAAUGCCAGGAAGCUGUGAGUGAGGGUCAAGCUAUUCUUGAGCAGCUGCAUGAGGAAAAAUCUGAAGGAUCAUGUAGUGAAGUGGCAGAGAGUAUUAAAAGUAACAGUAGUGAGAAGGCAAAAGAGCCUGAAGAUAAAAAUAGGAGAAGGCUCUACCCAGACUUGACCGAAUUAAAAAUGCCUGAGAACACAAGCGACUCAGAGAGUUCUGAGGACCUUGAUAUAUUGUUACAACAACUACAUAAGAUAAAAAUGAAAAAGAAGAAAAAGGAGACACAGGGCACGCAGGCCUACUAUAAGAAGGGGAAGGGAGUUAACAUCGGUCAACAAAACUCUGAGGAGGAGGAGGUAGAAUAUCUAGAAGAAGAUAUGGUGCCGAUUGCCCCACCUCCGUAUGUGGGGGGAGCCAAGGUUCCGGGAGAUCUUUUCAUGCACAAGUUUGGAGGACAGUUAAUACAGAUAUGGGACUUGCAUACCCUGUAUUUCAGGACAAUAACAGGGGAAGAUAUCAUGAGCCUUUAGACUUUAAGAUAAUUAAAACCUUGGCAGAAUCUGUCCGCACUUAUGGCAUAGAUGCUGCUUUCACUCUCACUCAGGUGGAGGGACUUACUAGAUUUUGCAUGACUCCCUCAGAUUGGGCUAGUCUAGUCCGCGCUUGUGUUUCCCCAGGGAAAUAUUAGGAGUCCAAAGUUGGCUGUUUAAUGUUUCUGGCAGUACCCAAGACUCGGAGCGAGAUUUUAUGAUUCCAGAAAUGCCUCCCGCAUCAUCGGGGAGUAUCUAUCCGGAACCUGGUCCAUGGAAGCAGAAAACUUGAUCCAGUCUCAACUAACUCAGAUUGCUGUUUUGAACAGUACCCGUGUCGAUCCCGUGACUUUGGGGUGCUGUCAACUUGUUUGUCGUUAUAAACAGCCACAGUUCAGCCUCAGCUAUCCCCCUUCGUCCACCAUCGUCACGAUACAGGAUGCGAGGCAAGGCACUGCACUUGAGUGAUCCUUGACGUGGACCUCAAGGAGAGCAUGUCCUAUUGCAUGCGGGUUCGACGCGUCCACGCCCCGCCCCACGAAAAAAGGCGUCGGCUGAUAUGGCUUCAGAUCUGGGGAAGGCGCCUCCUUAGGACUGAGUCAUACUAUGCAGCCACUUCUGCACAGUGGGAUAGGACCUCUACUCUCGCCUGUAUUGUUUUAAGAAAACAGAAAAGGGGGAACUGUGGUGAGCCGCUUCUGCCGUUUCUGCAGACUAUGGUCGCCAUUACAAGAUGACGCUGGCUCCGCUGUGGUCUGUGACAAACAACUCCUUAUCUGGGAGAGUUGGCACAUGAUUUUUCACCACCCUGUACAUCACCCUGUGAGAAAGCUCCACGCGGCAGCUUCGCAUUGGGGCUUGAGAUGCUUUAUUAAGGCUGGGAGGGGCAUCCGAGAGGGAGAAGAAGAAAUAUCAAGGGCCUGAAUAAACUGCUGAAAGAA